GGAUGCGAUCAUACCAGCACUAAAGCACCGGAUCCCAUCAGAACUCCGAAGUUAAGCGUGCUUGGGCGAGAGUAGUAUUAGGAUGGGUGACCUCUUGGGAAGUCCUCGUGUUGCAUUCC
rnacentral:rRNA from 1 species